UACAGAGGUCCCAAGCGUUGUUCGGAUUCACUGGGCGUAAAGGGUGCGUAGGCGGUUGGGUAAGUCUGUCGUGAAAUCUCCGAGCCUAACUCGGAAACUGCGUCGGAUACUAUUCAACUCGAGGAAUGGAGGGGAGACUGGAAUUCUCGGUGUAGCAGUGAAAUGCGUAGAUAUCGAGAGGAACACCAGUGGCGAAGGCGAGUCUCUGGACAUUUCCUGACGCUGAGGCACGAAAGCCAGGGGAGCAAACAGG
rnacentral:rRNA from 1 species